CGCUUUCUGCUGCAGGUUCAGUCACCCACAUGAUGCAGCUGGGGAGCUCUGGAGCUUUGUUCAGGGCAUUAAUUUCUUCAUUCAACUUGCUUUCCCUGGUAAGAUCUGUAAAUGUGUUUGUCUGUGUGCGGUUUCCACCUCUGAUCACAAAUGAUUUUGCUGUUAAUGCUUGUUACUUGUUAAAAAUCCAAAGGAUUUUUGAAUCACAGAUACAUAAAUUUAUCUAUGAUACACAAUUUCUACCUAAUACAUUCACUGUCUUCAAAAGCAUUUAAUAAUAAUUCUGAAGUCUAAAAAGCCAUAUCUUCCCAGCAAAACCUUAUACUAAAUUUUUCUUUAGUCACAAAAAACUUGAUCCUAGCUAUAAGUAGCAGUCAACUUGCUUGAUGUUAGCUCAUCAAAGAAGAGUCAGUGUAUAUUUAAUAUUUAGAAUAUUUUGGUGUGAAUUUUUGGUAGUUGAAGUACUGCUUAGUUUCAUCAUGAAGAGAACUAUUUCUGCCAUAGGUGUAGUGCUUUUCUCUCAUUUGCAUCCAGUCAAAUAAAUAUCACAUUUUUGGGGAACAAAGUAUAUGAAGAUUGUUCUGCUCAGAGUUGUCUUUGUAAUCUUAGAAAAAUUGUAUUCAGUCUGAAAGUGGAAGUCUAAUACUGUGCAACUGUAGAGCAGCCACUCUGGUACGAGUGAAAGGAAAUAUGAAGAAUAUAAAAAUGGGAAUGGGGAAAAGUAGAAAUGAAGAAAGGGGAAAAGAAUGAUGCAGUUCCAUUUAGAAGGUUUUAUCUUCUUUCAAAAUAGCUCUCAAGAGACCAUAAGUCAUUCUGUCUCUCAGCUGAAGUGUUCACUGUGGAAGGGGAGCGUGUGGCCGGCUUGAGGAGCAGAGUCACUGCCAUGGAGCUGGGGCAGCUCCUGCAGCCACGCUCGUGGGCAUCCCCAGAGACCGGGGGUGCUUCAGGAGCUCUGAUGUUGCUGUGCCCCUGCUUGGGUGGGCAGUGCCCCAGCAGCACUGCUGUGACCACACAGACAGUGCCUGUGGAGGAAACGUCGGAUCCCGGGCAGGGAGCUGUUUUGGAGCAGACGGGUGAGCUAUUGCUGUCAGCCUUUACACAGCUGUGAGCAGGGCCAUGGUGGUGGUGCUGUGAAGAAGAAGAGUCCAGUCAUGUGCUGUGUAACUCGCCAUCCUCAUGCAUCAGUGGUGCUGGCGUGCCUUGAGCCGCUCACCCGCGCGUUUGUUCCCGCCUGCUUUGCAUGGGGCCGUUCCCAGUCUGGGCUCAGGUUAUGUGAAGACAAAUGUGGGACAGAUGCAUCUAAUACAGUUUGUCCGUACUCUGUGUCCAGUUGGCAUAGUGCUUUUUAAAGCUUUAUGACUCAGGUGGGUUGCAUUUAACUAGGACAGUGAAAGGAUUCCUUCCAUUACAGUCUUCUUUGAAAGUCAAAUAUAAAAUGCGCAAUGAAGACCACUUUUCUUAAAUGAAGAAACAUGGCUUCCGCAUGUAAAAAAACUUCCAACGUUACUGCUUUGACUGAACUAUCUGAACAGCUGUCCUCUGCUACACAAACCUCCUCCUUGUUUUGGGUAAGAAUAGUGUGUGCUGAUAGGAGCUGGGACACGCAGCAUGGCUUUGUUACAGAGCUAGAAACAGGUGCAGUUCUAGCACUUGCCAUUGGGAAAAAACACAGAAGAAGAGAGGAAGGGAACAUUAGCACCAGCUAGGCUAUUCUGUGUGUGGGUGAUAGACACCCAUUUCAUGUGCUACCAUUAGUAGGUGUUUGUGGAGGAGAUGGUGACUUGCCAACAAGGGCUCAAGCCAUGUAUUAAACAGCAAGGGCAUUUCAGAGCCAUUGAUGGCCUGAUUUUGGAUAGAGGUUAGCAGGGUGCUGGUUCCCGGGAUCCAAAGAGAGGAGCCGUGUGGAGGGUGUUGGUGAUGGAGCAGGGCCCCCUCUCCCCGCUGUGGGCUCGUGUUUCGGGUGCUGUGCCAUCAUGCCUCUGCUCGGCCCAAGGCACUGCAGCUUUCAGGUGAAGCCUUUGUGUUUCGGGUGCUGUGCUAUGCCCUGCUCGGCCCAAGGCACCGCAGCUUUCAGGUGAAGCCUUUGCACGGCCCAAGAGCAGCCCGCAGUGUCCCUCUGGCCGGCCCGUGUGUGACAGCGCUGGCACCCCGGGCUGGCCGCUGCUCCUCGCCGAUCCCUGAGAAUGGCUGCUGGCUUUGCAAUGGAAACCUCCCAGCAACUUCCUGGCCCCUGGCACUAGAUGGAGCUUCAAUCUACUUGCACUUGGAAGUCUGUUAAGUUCAACGACAAGAUAAAAAUAGAGAAGAAUACGUGAAGAUAUGCGUGCCUGCUGCUACACUUAAAGCGCCUCUUUCCGUGUUUUUAGCAGAGCGGUGUAAAUCAUAAUUUAAAUUUAAUCUAAAUGAAAAUUAAAACGUUGCCACAGAAUCUGCUUGUUCUAGUGCGUGCAUUAUAAUCAUUAGCACCCUUUAAUGUACUCUCAGGUUCACAGUGGAAGUUGCUGUGAGUAUAUUGGAACUGUGCUGCAGAAUUAAGGUAAUGCCUGGGCUGGGCUGAAUAAAGGUAAUACCUUUUCUGAACAACGUACCUGGUUAUAUUUCAGGAUGUAGAGAGGAUGACCACCCUUUCUGUCUGCUGUGCUCAUGCAAGAAUAAAUUUGUAUUUUCACUUUGUGCUACCAAAGCUAACAUUUCAGAAUCAUCUGUUUGACGUCACUUCAUUUUUCCUCCAUGUGUUACCCUUGAAAAUACUGAACAAAUAAAAACAAACAAAAAUGAGCUUUGAAAAUGUAGUGUUCAUACUUUUCAUUUAGCAAGCACCAUGUCUCACAGGCCACACACGCAUAGCAGAAAUUCAGACCAUCUCUUCCUUCCACAGGAGUAACUGGAAGUAGAUUUAGUUUUGUCCUUGGGUGUCCAUGAUCUUAUCAGCAAGAGACUGGUUUAUUCAAAACUUUUGUCCAAGCACUGAAGUAGUCAUAAAAGAAACUGAAGUUGGGAACCGAAAUGGUGACACUCAUAACAGAUUUUGUCAGUAAAGCACUGAAGUAUUGUUUUGUUGCUUCACUACAAAAUCUGACUUUGAAUUUCAGUCUUCUUCAGAGGCUUUGUGCCAACCAGCAGGAGGAUAGGGACAGGUGGGGUGCCCAGAAGGCCUCAGGAGGGCAGGGAGCAUUUGUGGGGUGCCUGGUAUGUCCUGCAGAGAUUGCAUAGAAAUUGUCAUUGUGUUCUCCUAAAGAAAGCUUUGCUUGUUUUUUUUUCAAUAAAUCUGUUAUUUGCCUCAAGGAUGCCUGUUAUGCUUGGUCUGGGACAUUAGAGGAAGGUCUUUUGAAAUCUCACACCUAAACUUUAAAGAGCUAUUCUGUUAUUUGCCAUUGCACUACAUCUGUCACUCGGUAGCCUUCCAGAGAAGUGGAGCUUCAAUACUUAAUAAUUUACAAACUGUUCAACCAUUUUGGUUCAUCUUGAUUUCUCUUCAGUGAACAAAUGAGGAUAUGAGCCAAAAUCUUUCAUCCUUAUCACAGCUGAAUAUUAGUAGGUGAGCAGACAGUCAUUUUGUCAUGUUGUUCCCCUCUGGCAGGGACAAAACCACUCCUUGAAUACGAGAGACUGAAGCAGGACUGGACUGCCCUGAAGCAACAGGACAGAUGUGCUUCCCAGGGUGUUCAGAAGAUCUUUUUAUGGAUCUCUGAAGACUGUAGUUGCAGAAACAUGGGCACUUGGGAGUUGAGGCAGCUGGCAAACAGGAAUGCUGGAGCUCCAAGUCCCUGAAGUGACCAGACCCUUCUGAAGGCUGUUGUGAGGAAGAGGACGUUUGCCAGAGCAGGAAUUGGACUCGAAGUCUCGCUGCGUUUCUCCCUUGCCCAAAGCGAGAGCCUGCGGGCGUUGGCGGCGCCGCGGUCUGCCAGGAGAGCGGGGAGCGGAGCCGUGCCGGGAUUAAGUCACUCUCGCAAGGUCACGCGGUGAAUCGCUGCUGCUGCUGCCAGGAAUAGCGCCCCGAGUCUCUUGGCUCUCUCAAGCCCACCCGCAGCACUCCAGCCUCCUUUCCUCGGGUUAUGAAGCUUUCUGCAGCAAGAUUUGAAGCAGCCAAAUUCCAGCUUAGAUCAAAGUCCCUAGGAUUCACUUGUGAUUUCCGGAUGGAGUAUGGCAAGAGCGUUGGUGGGAGCAGACAAUGCUUGUGCUGAUAGCAGAGGUUGAAGUGUUUCCUGUCAUGGAAAAGAUGAACAAGCCAGUUCCGCAUCAGCUUUCUUUUCUGAGACUUCCAGCUGUAACUGAAGCCUCAGUUCCCGUGAUGAUGCUCCUGGGGCACAGCCCGAUGGCAUCUGCAGAGUGGGGCAUGGAGAACAAGGGACCCCGAGCCACAGGGAGGGACUGCAGCCCCUGCGCCCCUCUCCCCAUGGAGAGACAGCAGAACAUCAUGGUGCCCUCAGAGCCAGCACAGCGCAGACAUCUCCAACAGGGGAUCAGCAAACGCAUAGGACAGGUACACUCCCUUCUGAGUGACAGCACUUCCCAAAGCCUCGCUCUGCAGCCCUGGAGCCUGCUUCAGCAGCCCUGGGAGCCUGGCCAUGGUGAGGGCUAUCCCUGCCUCGGUGCACAUGCCUCUGUGCACAUGUGUCUGCCUGAGCGCUGCCAUGUUUGGAGCUGUGUGGUGGCUGCUGUCAGAACCCAGGAAUGCAGCCUCAGGAACAGAACCCUGCACAGGCAAACGUGGCAGAACCUGGGCAGUGUCUGCAGCAGCAGUUAGGAAUCUGGGACUGGGAGCUGACUGUACUUGCAUUCCCAGGAGGACAAAUCAGGGCCUCGAUUGCCAGGAAUAAUACCCAGAGUUGUGGUGCUGAGAAGGUGAAGCUGCAGCGUGAGCCCACCUGGAAUCCUCACUGUAGGAGAAAUGCACUGGGAGCAGCCGUGGACGGGCAGGGUCACCAGCACUGCGGUGCUCGCUCCGUCUUGACUGCAAUUUGUGUGGGACAAUCUGCUCCUUGCACGCGUUGCUCAGAGGCGGAUCCUGUUCAGAAACCCCUUCUCUGCCCCUGUGGAACAGAGGGCUAUGGCACCUUCACAUGGAACCACGCUCAACUGGAAUGUCACAGAUUUGCCUCUGGGGCCAACCUGAGCUGCAGCAGAGCAUGGAGAAGACAGUUUCAGAAGCUGAGACGUGUCUGUGUACCCUUCACAGAAGCAGCACUCCAGAAACAGUUCAUGGGACAGAAGAGAUGGCAUAUUUCGUUUAACAAUGGGGUGUUUAAGGCCUGGUUCUGCAAAGUACACUGGAAGAAAACAGGUAUUUCCUUAUGCAUCAUGCCCUAGGAAAAGAUAUUUAAAUAUGUCUGUGUUCUUAAAAAGAGAAAUUUCAAAUAAAUUCUGUAUGUACUGGCAUGCUAAUAUGAACAGCAUGCCUGCAUGCAGAAAUUUCACUUUUAAAAAACCACCCCCUUUCUGCUGCUUGUGUGUACAUUGGUAUUACUCAACCUUCAGGUUCUUACAAAGCUCACUGUGAGCCUUCCCACAUGCUAAAUCUAUCCUACUAGGUAUUUACUCACCAUUAUAAAAGUCUUUUACCCCAUGAAUAAACACAGAAAUAUUUGCCCAGGUUAACUGUGAUAUUGGGCUAUUUAGAAUAAAACUGCACUGUUCUGUAUUUCAGCACCCUGCUUCCACAGAAUUUUUCGUUCUCUGGCUUGUUCUAUGUGCAGUCCCAAAGGCCUGGCUGGCGAGCCCCUGUGCUGGGCAGGCUGCCCCUGAGUGCCAGCCCUGCCCGAGGAGCACAGAGCGGGCACAGCUGCAGGAGCUGCUGGCCACAGUCCCGCUCGGCCGGGUGGAGAGGGCAGGCACGUGUCCACCCCAGCCUCCAUCCUUUCCUCCAGCAAGCCUGCGCACAGCUCUCACCGUGCGCCCACCUGGCUUGCACUGGCUCAGCCCUGCCAGCGUUCCAUCGGUGCUGACAGGGAGGGCUGCUGGGGACGGGCCACACGCGCCACAGCACACAGCCCACGGCAGAACAUGGGCUCUGUCACACCGUGUGCCCGCCCCGGCAGCACUGUGCCACCUCUGUCACCCACGGGCACUGCCACCCUGCUGCUGACCCUGCCCUCACCCACGGGGCAAUGUCACCCAGCUGCUGACCCUGCCCUUGGCACAGGGCACUGUCACCCAACUGCUGACCCUGCCCUUGGCACAGGGCACUGUCACCUCACUGCUGACCCUGCCCUUGGCACAGGGCAAUGUCACCCAACUGCUGACCCUGCCCAUGGCUGGGUGCUGGAGAAGCCUUGAUGUUGCGUGAGCAGUGCACCCCUGGUGCCACAGGCAGCGCAGGCACAGACUGAUCCUGACCCCACUGCCGGUCUGUGCUCCUGCUGGCCAAUGCCCUGGCUUUGGCACAGGUCAGUGCCACUGAUUCGGGCACAGACUGUGAUCCUGACCCCACUGCCUGCCCGUGCUCCUGCUGGCCAGCUGCCCUGGGAGCCCCUGUGGACAUGGGUGGGUGUGUGUGGGUGACACCGGGCACUGCACAGGUCAGUGCCACUGAUUCGGGCACCACCACCAGAUUUCCCCUGAGAUAAAGCCAAAGCCCAGUGUGCUGUUCCUGUGUCUGGUUUGUAUGUGCUGCACUUUGCGCCGGUCCCUCCCCACCCUGACCUGGCAGCUGCAGAGCAACACCUGAACGUCCACGAGUUCCCUUCAGGCGCUGUCAGGUUCAUGCAAACUACAGCAAGUGUGACUGUGGUUGGACAAACACCCAACAAUCCCCCUCUCCUUGUUUUGGAGGGAGUCUCUAUGUCCUGACUAGUCCCCACAGAGACCACAGCGCCUCUUCUUGGAGACAAUUCCAUGUCGAGAGUUUUUAAUGACUUUCAGAUGUCUUAACAGAAUACAAGCCCCUGAAGAGAAAAUUCCUAGUCUUAACUUGCAGAAUUUAGGAGCUGAUUUUUAUCCAUAUGGAAUUAUUUAUAGUGCAACUGAGGAAAAUAAUCCUCCAAAGGAUGAUGCUGAGUAUAUCACCUCUUUGCAAUGCAUUACUAAAGAGUUCCCACACCAUUUAACACCUACAGGACAAUUCCACUCAUCAAAAUUCUCAUGGAGAAUCUGUUAGGGCUUGCCAUGAAACAGGUAAUUACUUUGGGAAUCCUAGCAGUGUAAUUUAAUUAUUGUGGUAUUUUUCAUUUAACCCAGUAGUUUGUAUCACUUCCAUCAGUUUACUCUGACAAAUGUCAGAACAUUCACUUCCCCAAAUGUUCUGUUUUCCCUUUUUUCUCAGGCUCCAAAACCUGACCUCUGAAAAUGGUUUGAAUUUGCAAACCCGAUACACACUGAGAUCACUUCUUCAGCAUUAAUGAAGGACAAGUUAUGCCUUUUAAUCAUGUUUAUAAUGAAAAUGCUUAAUUAUAAAAUAAUAAUAACAAUACAAAAUGCAGGUCCUCAUAAACAACUGUUAUUUGUCUACCCCAAACACUUUCAGUUGUGCUUAGCAAGCUCUCCGUUUCUGAUGAUUCUAUUUUUAGUGGAUUUCAGCAGAACUACUCAUAUAAGAUUUAAAACAAAAUUAACAGCAAAAAAGCAGAGAUUUACAUGAAGAGAAUUUAGGUUUAUAUUCAACACAUCAUUUUAGUGUCUGACAGCAGGAGUAUUUCAGUAGACGCAGUCACAAACGUUGAUAGUAGCUGUUCAGUUGGAUGAGAAAAGCAAGAAUUAGCCACAGAAGUAGUAUUUUUUUGGUAUGUAUAUUGCAUACAGAUUCCACGUGGAGACAGGGAAUCCAUCAAUCCGCUAUCUGCUACAAACCCCACAUUUCUGCUUUUGUAGCAAAGUUAGAGCUAGUCCAGACCGUAAGUUUUCUGAGGCAUGUUUAUGCAGAAAAGGCCAGGGAACCAGUUUUGGCUGACUGCUGUCUCAUGUCCUACAUGAUGUGGCAGCAAUAGAGCUGUCAAAAAUUGCUCAGAACUUAAAUAUGUACAUGUUUCCCCACACCUUUAUUUAUCCAGCUCUGAUCUCUGCUUUUGAAUUCCUGCUUAGCAGGAAAAGGGGAAAGAGGGCAUUGCACUUCUGGAAGUGAAAUGUGAGGGGUGCAGGCACACAUUCCCCCUGGAACCCGAGCAUCCCACGGACCCAGGCAGUGGCUCCUUAGCACAGACACCACCCCUCCAAACAACCAGGGCUCCCUGGGAGCUCCAUUUAAAUAGGCCAUCGAAACAUCAUUAUUAUGGAGUUGCAAUGGUUUUAAUGUCUACUCUGUAGACAAGCAUUACGUAAGUCCUCUAGGAACUCAGUCCUGAAAAUGGAUUUAUAACUACAGAUCAAAUUGUGCCACAUAGUACUUAUUUAAAAUAUCUGACAAGCUCUCUGAAGUUUGUCUAUGUUCCCUUUUUUGCUUAGACAACAUAUUAAAAACAAAUGCCCUGCCAUUAUUCAUGCUUUUAACACUGAGAUGUAAUUGAUAAAGCUGGUGAAAAGUCUGAAGAAUGGUUUAUAUACAAAGCAAAGUGAUUACUUACUGUUCAAAGCUGAAGUUUUCAAGAAAAUGAGCAACCUAGAUUCUAGGAAAUCCAGCCAUGAAUUAUUGAAAAGUCCAUUAAAAUAAAACCAUGCCAAACAGAAAUAUUUCAGACACACCAAGUCUAUCAAAGAGAUGUGCAUUUUCUCCAAUAUUGAUAUCACACUUUACUUAAUAUGAGUUUGAAAUAAAUGAGAGAGUAUGCUGCUGAACGCCACAUGAGCUCUCUGAAACCGUUCACAUUUCUCUCUUUACUAGGUUAAAUGAAACCUGAUCUGGAUUCCACUUGAUCAUAAGACUGGAAUGCUGAAAAUGCUGUAAUCUAUUUAUACAUCAAAUUGAAGAAACAUUGCAUGUCUUUAAAUUUCACUGCAUUCCAGUGUAUUAGCUAAACAGCAACAAUUUACAAACUGUUUCACAUUCAAACUGAGAAAAAGACAGACCAACGUAACUUAUUUAUCCUAAAGCCAGGAUUGAUUUCCUGGCUUUAAAACUGUGGCCCAAACCCAGGUCUGCUCUGUGCCUUCCCUAAAAGCCUUGCAGCAGUAAUUCAUCAUUAGUGCCAAAACAUGGUAGUUGCCUUAUGAUGACUUCCAAAUCCACAGUUCUUUUUUAGCAUCAAGAACAAUCCCAAACUACAAUCCCAAACUGGAUUUGCAGCUCAGAUUUUGUCCAUACUUCUCUUCCCUCUGCCUCUAAACCACAAAUGGUUCAAAAUACAGCAGACAGCAAGGCUGAGAACAACUGUGGUAAAUAAGAGCAGCCAAAUCCCACAGAUGAAAUCCAUACAGGGGCUUAUUCAGCCCAGGAGGUAUUGGCAGCAACCCAUCCACCAAGAGACCACCUCAGGCGCCCCAUUGGAACGGCAGUCUCCACAGAAUGCUGUCGUUUCCCUCAGUUAUUUACAGAAUAAUUUACAGAACAGCGGUGUUUGACCCAUCAUUCUGACUAGAGGAUUCAAACACCACAGCUGUGUGCAGCACAAGAUCUUCUGAAAAAGUAAAGGUGCCCAUCAUGAAGAAGAGCUUAAUAUGCUAAAGGCCUGUCUGUUGAUCUGUACAAAUGUACAUUCUAGAUUUUAACAUCUCUCAGUAAAGAAAGACACACCUGCCACUGACAUUUGAUGGGUUUUGCCACUGACUUGGAAGGGGUCAGGAUCAGGCAAAAACUGCUGAUGGUAUUUCAUAACACCUAUUCAUUUCUACUUGCCCUUUCAAUGAUUUUCAAUGUGUGAAACAGUGUCCAUCUUUCUCACUUGUCAUUUCUUUGGGUUUUUUUCAUUAGUUGUUGGAUUUAGUGCUUGUUAUUUCCCAUGUAGAAGACUAUGAACACUACAAAGACAAAAAGAGCAAUUUUUUUUAGAGUCAGGGGAGAGGAAAAUUCUGUGCUCUCUGUCACAUGAAACUUUAGGAGCCUGAAGCUAAAUACUGCAGUACUAUUCAUGGUUCUCUGGAUAGUUAGUGGCCUUUAUAAAUGCAAAAAUCCCACUUAGACAUUCAAAUAACUGAUUUGCCAUUUUCUGUGCCCUUCUUCCCUCCAGCAGUCUGUAACCUGGUAUUUGUCUUCUAGGUCUUGUGUCUUACAGCUGAAAUUCAAAAGAACUUGAAAUUCAAAUUACAAUUGCAUCUUGGUUGGGAUUGAGACAAUUUGGGCUACUUUAGAGGAAUCUUUAAAACAAGAAUAAUUUGAGUCAAUGUCUUACUGUCUAGAACCACGAGUUUCAUAAAAAGGAAAAUGUACAGUUUACAGUAAGGAAUUUCUAUACUACUGUUUAUUUUAAUAUUUAUAAUGGUAAUGCAGGAUUUAAUAUGGGUCAUCAGAAACAGAGUGCUCUCUUAGAAUAUCCAGUUUUUGGUAACUCCUAAAUUUCUCCUCAAAUUUGAAAAGACCCUAGGGAAAAAUAAACUGCUUGUCACUUGCUCA